UGUGCUCGAUUUGGCUUUGGAAGGAGGUAAAGACAUAGUACAAUUAAUUUUGAAAUAAUAAAAUAGGAUAUCUUCUCCCCCUCGAUAUUUUCUCCUGAAAUGGACAGGUUGGCUAAGGAAUGGAACUAAAAAACUGGAGCUGAAUUUCCAAGUAUCCCUGCCAUUAGAAUCCAACAAUGAGAGUCUCUUGCACAGGAUUCUGAAGGUACUUCAAGAAGACGCUACAAAGAGGCUCAAAACUUCCCCAAAGAGUAAGUUCGGUCCUGUUCAAGACCCAGAUUUCUGCACUAUCAUCAUGAAAAGAAUAAUCAUCUCGAAGAUUAUUUUCCAGCAGAAUGUCGCCAAAUUCUAACUGUACAAUUGGGUUUUGAGCAGAAGUCUCACUUGUUUUGCAAAUCAAGAUAAUAGGUCUUCAGGUACCUACAUAGAUAAGUAAACCCUUCAAACUAUUUACCUAGGUGCCAAAAUUCCACUAAAUAUAAAUUUAGGUUUGUCACUAAAUAAAAUGCAUGUGAUCAGACAAAUGUGAAAAAGUUUAAAAUAAACCUGCCUUUAAUUUAAAGGUGAUAAAUAUUUGAAGCCAAUAUUUACAAGUCACUAGUGUAUGAAAAUAACACUAAUUGUUAAUACAUAUGAUAUUUAGUUACCAAAUAACAGGCACUGUUUUAAUCACUGUACAUACAUUAACUACCUCAAUCCCCACAAAACACUAUGAAAUAAAGAUCACUAUUGACUCCAUAUUAUGGAUGAAGAAACUGGGGGACAGAUGAGGUAAGCUGUCUUUCACACAGUGAAAAUUCCUGGACAUUUAUCUCUUUUAUUCAUUUGUUCAUGAUUUUAUCUACCAAACUACCACUUUUCAUUAGUUGGUGAUUCGUAAUACUCUGAAGGUCAUUAUUCCUCUGCUUAAAAUUUGGGGUCAUAUCCCUUAAAAUUAGACAUAUUCACAUACAUAUACACAAAUUCGGCAUCUGAUUUCAGGGGUUUAAUUGAACCCCCAAAGCCUCUAAACCAUGAAACCAGUAUGAAGAAGUUCUGAUUUAAAAGUAAGUCAUGGUAUACAUAAAGACAAAUAAGGACAACAGAAAGAGCGUGAUGCACAAAUACACACACCCACAUACACACCCACACAACACACCAGACUUGUACAGUAGGUUAUUUUCUUUCAUUUUCAUUUUAUCAAAUUUCUACUUCUUUAGUAAUAUAAAAUUACUCCUUGACAAAGGUAAAAUAACUCAUAGUUCAACUUGGAUAUCUAAAUAGUUUGGAAGCAGUAACUGUUAACAUUUACAGUAAAAUCUAUAUUCACAGCUGCUCUGAUUGAUGUGAAAUUUAUCUGCGGUUGUCUGUAUAUGAAAGUGAUAUUACACAAAGAGCUGUUCCCUGUUUUACCAAAUUCAUUUAGCUUGAAGCUGUUUCCUUCAAAACUCCUUUGUCAGACACCUGUAAAUGCUUCCAGGGUGAUUCAGAUUGAUACUCCAACUGAUAUUCCUGAUAAUAACGACAAUAACAACAACAUAGUUACAACAAAUUAGGACACUGCUGUUUGUCAAGGCAGGGUGCCUUAAUAUUUCCAUGGUAACUUCCUCCCACUUCCAUGUUCAGCCUUUCCCACCCAGUAAUAAUAUGGUGAAACUCUUUUACUUAUUAAUGCCAUCUUCUUUUUUCUUUUUGUUAUUGGUUUUUUUUUUUCUUUACCUUUCUUUCCUUCCAUGUCUUUCAUGCCCUGACCUCAUUCUCAUGUAUCUCUUUUCCUACUCUGAUAUGUAUUUGUCUUCCUUCACAAUCUCUAAUAUUAUUUCUUUUGUGUCUAUUUUCAAAACAGUGAUCAUUUUUCUCUGAUACAUAGACAUAUAUUCCAGUAGAAGUCCAAUUAUUUUAAAACCAGUUUAACCGGCAAAGUGACACCUCAUUCACGAAGUCAGGCUGCCAUGUUGCCAGGACAACUGUAAAUAUGAUAAACUCCAGUCUUUCCUCAUGGAACACUACUCAUGUUGCCAUGACAACCUAUAAAACUUGGUUCCUGUCAUUUCUAUAUGGAAGAUCUGCAUGCACUUUGGUUAAAAUCAGGAACAUUUGACAUAUCUCUGUAAAUUUUCACACUUCAGAUUCACUUCAAACUUCCAAACUAAAAGUAAUCAUCUGAUAGUUUAAAACAUGAGAAUUCUUACCAUUCUACACAGUCAAAAAAUGCUAUGAUUGAUACAGAAUACAUAAAGCAAUGGAAGUUAUGAUUUGUGUGAUAUUUUAAAAACUACUGGUAACUUGUGAAUUGGUUUUGCCUGAUUAAUAUAUAAAAUUUGGAUGUGUAAUGAAGAGACUGAUGCAUUCUUACUAUCUAUGGAGAUAGCAGUAGAGUAAGUUCUGAAUUAGUGAUAUUUAUUUCUUCAAUAAAUCCUCUUCAAGCCAUAAUACAUAAUGACAUCAAAUGUUAAACAAAAGGAAGCUUUGAUAAGAGUGAAAACUUAUUACUGCUCUGCUAAUUGUAUCUCUCUCAUAAAAUGUUUUAAUGACGCAUUGAUUCAGAAGAUGUACAGGCUUUCUUUUGUGAUCGAAAAACUGCCUUAUCACUUUACUCAAAUCUCUAUUACUCAUCUCUACAUUGGAUAGUAAAUUACUGACAGAGUAAAAACUGCAUUGUAAACCUUUCUUUUUAAAAACAGUCUCUUAUUCUCUGUUGUUUAUCAUCUCUAGAAUGUACCCCAUGUUACAUUUCUUCACAAAUAAAUCAAGAAUGGAUUUUAACUAUUUCUUUUCUUUUAUCCUAUUUUAUAAAUCUCAAAUUGAUCCCAUCUCUGAUCCUUAGCACAAUUUCUUUGGCACUGAUAAGGAAGAAUUGUGAUUCAGGUAAUACUCAGUUGAGUUCUCUGUCAGGCUCAAGUUUAUGCUCUCAAGAUCCCAAUUACAUGAAUUCAGAGCACUUCUGAAAGAGUUCAUGGAUGGACUUUGGAGUGCCCAAAA